GUCCAACUGUCGAGUCUCAAAUAGGACGAAACGCUUGUGAUGGAU
rfam:Schistosoma haematobium scaffold598_6, whole genome shotgun sequence.